rnacentral:rRNA from 1 species
UAAGGUGACUGCCGGUGACAAACCGGAGGAAGGUGGGGAUGACGUCAAAUCAUCAUGCCCCUUAUGACCUGGGCUACACACGUGCUACAAUGGAUGGUACAAAGGGCAGCGAAGCCGCGAGGUGGAGCCAAUCCCAUAAAACCAUUCUCAGUUCGGAUUGCAGGNUGCAACUCGCNUGCAUGAAGCCGGAAUCGAUAGUAAUCGCGGAUCAGCAUGCCGCGGUGAAUACGUUCCCGGGCCUUGUACACACCGCCCGUCACACCACGAGAGUUUGUAACACCCGAAGUCGGUGGGGUAACCGCAAGGAGCCAGCCGCCUAAGGUGGGACAGAUGAGUGGGGUGAAGUCGUAACAAGGUAGCCGUAU